GAGUCACUUCUAGCACCUCCAACCUCAUUUCUUCUUCAAAAUUUCGUGCUCCUCCAUAGCCAUAGACAUCUCAAGCUUUUAUUGCAAAUUUGAGCCCCGUUUUUCGGCAUAUCGGACGUACAAUCGCGUAAACCCCGAUAAAUCAAGGCGUAUAGAUCUAUAGUACAAGAAGGUCACUAAGGAAUGGACUUAGAAGGUAGCGAAGCAUCGAAAGGUGAUAAAGGCUUGUGUUCAUAGGCCUACGAGGUAGCGUAUCCUCUCUAUGGUUUUCGAUUCCUUUGGUUUAGAUGAUGUGUGCUAUAAUGUGAUUAAUUGUGAGAUGUUAAUUAAACAAUGUGCUUAAAUAUGCUUAUAAUUUAAUAUGUGGAUUGUUAUUAUACUUAUUAAUUUUAAUCUGAAUGAUCUUCGGAAAUCAUGGUACGAAUAUGAAUAAAAGACAUUGGAUAUGAUAUGCAAUGAAAUGUAAUUAAUUAUGAAGAUCUGAAUAAUGUGAAAUAUGUCUGAAUAGAUUAUGAAGAGAUAUCCGUAUGUAUAUGAAAAAUAAGUUAUAUGGUUGGCAGAACAUGAAUAAAAUGAAUACAAGAGAACGAUGUGUAAAUGUUAAUAGAGUAUAUACUAAAAGAACGUCUGUGAAUACGAUAAGAAUGAUUAUCCAAAGUGAUUUUUGGAAAUGGAAUAAAUGUGAAAGAAAAGAGAUUUGAAAGAAGAAUAUAAAAUAAAAGCCCCAUUUGCUUGGUCAUAUGUGUUGGGUACAAUUGGCAUGCCAUAGGACAGCAGCGCUGUAUUAUCUGUGAACACUCGUCUUCUGGAUAACCGAAGCGAGGAUCGUCUAUUAUCUGAUGGGCCCCUAUCUGAUCUGUCUGAUCUGCACCCUAAUGGGUGGUCUGAUUAUCUGUCUGCACCCUAAUGGGUGGUCUGAUUAUCUGUCUGCACCCUCAUGGGUGGUCUGACUUUCUGCUAUGCACCCUAUGGGAGGUCUGUGCGGAGUCCUCUCGAGGACAAAAUCCGCGUCUGCAUCUGAUUCUUUUUCUGAUCUGGUCCGUGUACCCUGCCUGAAACCAUGUUGAUAUUGGGGCUAAAUGAUAAGAUAAUAUAAGAAAUACCUGAUGACUUCUGAAUAAGAAUCUGUAAUCUGUGAUGUAUAAAAUAAUAUCUGAUGACUUCUGAAUAAGAAUUUGUGAUAUGUGAUGGAUAAAAUAAUAUCAUAUGACUUCUAAAUAAAGAAUCUGUAAUUUGUGAUAUGUGAUAUAUAAUAAGAUAAGAUAAAAUAAUAUCUGAUGA